UGGCAGUUAAAGAACAGAAACAGAGCAGUAAGAGUGAGCCGCUACAUUCUCCCAGUACCACCAACUGGGAGUUAAGCUGACUAACACUUUGAAAGCCCAGCCCAUUCCGUUCGCAGCAGGAUGGCAGG
rfam:Otolemur garnettii contig016745, whole genome shotgun sequence.